rnacentral:rRNA from 1 species
AUUUGGAGAGGAUGCUUCUGGCGCAGCGCCUUCCGAGUUCCUUGGAACAGGACGCCAUAGAGGGUGAGAGCCCCGUACGGUCGGACGCCUAGCCUCUACGAAGCUCCUUCGACGAGUCGAGUAGUUUGGGAAUGCUGCUCAAAAUGGGAGGUAAAUUUCUUCUAAAGCUAAAUACCGGCCAGAGACCGAUAGCGCACAAGUAGAGUGAUCGAAAGAUGAAAAGCACUUUGAAAAGAGGGUUAAACAGUACGUGAAAUUGUUGAAAGGGAAGCGCCUGUGACCAGACUUGCGCCCCGCGGACCACCCGGCGUUCUCGCCGGUGCACUCUGCGGGGCGCAGGCCAGCAUCGGUUCUUCCAGGGGGACAAAGGCCGCGGGAACGUAGCUCCUCCGGGAGUGUUAUAGCCCGCGGCGCCAUGCCCCUGGGGGGACCGAGGACCGCGCUUCGGCAAGGAUGCUGGCGUAAUGGUCACCAGCGACCCGUCUUGAAACACGGACCAAGGAGUCAAGCAUUGGGGCGAGUGUUUGGGUGCCAAACCCGCACGCGAAAUGAAAGUAAACGCAGGUGAGAGCUUCGGCGCAUCAUCGACCGAUCCUGAUGUAUUCGGAUGGAUUUGAGUAAGAGCCUUACCGCUUGGACCCGAAAGAUGGUGAACUAUGCCUGUAUAGGGUGAAGCCAGAGGAAACUCUGGUGGAGG